rnacentral:rRNA from 1 species
GACGAACCGUGCAAACGUUGUUCGGAAUCACUGGGCUUAAAGGGCGCGUAGGCGGGUGGUCAAGUCAGGGGUGAAAUCCUCCAGCUCAACUGGAGAACAGCUUUUGAUACUGGCCAUCUUGAGGGGGGUAGGGGCAUGUGGAACUUCCGGUGGAGCGGUGAAAUGCGUAGAUAUCGGAAGGAACGCCGGUGGCGAAAGCGACGUGCUGGACCCUUUCUGACGCUGAGGCGCGAAAGCCAGGGGAGCAAACGG